ACGCACGCUGGCGGCGUGCCUAAUACAUGCCAGUAGAACGCACAGUUUAUACCGUAGCUUGCUACACCAUAAACUGUGAGUUGCGAACGGGUGAGUAACGCGUAGGUAACCUGCCUGGUAGCGGGGGAUAACUAUUGGAAACGAUAGCUAAUACCGCAUAAUAUUGAUUAUUGCAUGAUAAUUGAUUGAAAGAUGCUAUUGCAUCACUACCAGAUGGACCUGCGUUGUAUUAGCUAGUAGGUGAGGUAACGGCUCACCUAGGCGACGAUACAUAGCCGACCUGAGAGGGUGAUCGGCCACACUGGGACUGAGACACGGCCCAGACUCCUACGGGAGGCAGCAGUAGGGAAUCUUCGGCAAUGGACGAAAGUCUGACCGAGCAACGCCGCGUGAGUGAAGAAGGUUUUCGGAUCGUAAAGCUCUGUUGUAAGAGAAGAACGGGUGUGAGAGUGGAAAGUUCACACUGUGACGGUAUCUUACCAGAAAGGGACGGCUAACUACGUG
rnacentral:rRNA from 1 species